rnacentral:rRNA from 1 species
UACGUAGGGGGCAAGCGUUGUCCGGAAUUAUUGGGCGUAAAGAGCGCGUAGGCGGUCCGAUAAGUCGGCUGUGAAAGUCAAGGGCUCAACCCUUGAAAGCCGGCCGAUACUGUCGGACUAGAGUCCGGAAGAGGCGAGUGGAAUUCCUGGUGUAGCGGUGGAAUGCGCAGAUAUCAGGAGGAACACCAAUAGCGAAGGCAGCUCGCUGGGACGGUACUGACGCUAAGGCGCGAAAGCGUGGGGAGCGAACAGG